rnacentral:lncRNA from 1 species
GAUAAUGGACAAAACCUCUGAACGGGUAAAUGCUACUUGGAGGCCUAUGAGACGGAGGGAGUGAGGGUGUCCGUCAUCAAGAGGACCAUUUGAUGAAUCCGUGCAGUCUACAGCUGCUUUGCAUGCCAAAGCCUAUCCCAAGGACUUCAGACACAAAUAGACACGUGCACACGCAAAGCAGAACUGGCCACGCUUCUGCACAAAUGAGCACAAGGAGCUGAGGCCUAAUGGAAGUUGGAUGUGUAUCACUGAAGACCAUCAUGAUGGAAGCAGCUCUGUUCACCACACACCCCAUAUCAUGCUGUCCUGCCUGACCACAGGCCCCAAAGAUAGCAAAUCACAAUUUGAAAAAAAAGAUUAUUGAAGAAUCUGUACUUCAAUGGUUAAAAUCUGAACCUACGCCUAGACAGUUAUUCGUUAAACUUCAAGAAGAGGUCAUCCAUCCCUCAGGCCAUCACUCAUUUAGCUCACGUGACUUUGCAGAAGAUUGCUGAUUCUGUGCUCGAGCCCU